rnacentral:lncRNA from 1 species
GGGACAUGUGUGUUUGUGUGUCCUUAUUUACCUGGUGCAACUUGGAGAGGAGGGUUAUCUGCCCUCACACAGAGGGUCACAUAUUCCCUACAUGACAGUUGGACCAUCAAUGCUUCAGUAGCCCAGUCGGGACCUUUGUCUGGUUUGUGUGUUGACGAUGAAUCACAAUAUAAAGUUCAACUCCCACUGUUUAUCUGCAUGGGCUGCAUCUCAAUCUAACGCGGAAGACCGGCAGAGGCGAAUGUUUCAAUCUAACGCGGAGACUGUAAGAGGCGGAUGUUUCAAUCUAACGCGGAAGACCGGCAGAGGCGAAUGUUUCAAUCUAACGCGGAAGACCGGCAGAGGCGAAUGUUUCAAUCUAACGCGGAAGACCGGCAGAGGCGGAUGUUUCAAUCUAACGCGGAAGACCGGCAGAGGCGAAUGUUUCAUGUUUCAAUCUAACGCGGAAGACCGGCAGAGGCGAAUGUUUCAAUCUAACGCGGAAGACCGACAGAGGCGGAUGUUUCAAUCUAACGUGGAAGACCGGCAGAGGCGAAUGUUUCAAUCUAAUGCGGAAGGCCGACAGAGGCGGAUGUUUCAAUCUAACGCGGGAAGACCGACAGAGACGGAUGUUUCAAUCUAACGUGGAAGGCCGACAGAGGCGGAUGUUUCAAUCUAAAGCGGAAGACCGACAGAGGCGGAAGUUUCAAUCUAACGCGGAAGACCGACAGAGGUGGAUGUUUCAAUCUAACGUGGAAGACCGACAGAGGUGGAUGUUUCAAUCUAACGCAGAAGACCGACAGAGGUGGAUGUUUCAAUCUAACGCGGAAGACCGACAGAGGUGGAUGUUUCAAUCUAACGUGGAAGGCCGACAGAGGCGGAUGUUUCAAUCUAACGCGGAAGACCGACAGAGGCAGAUGCGUUAGAUUGAAACAUCUGCCAAUAUCGGCCUGUCGCAUCUGAGGUGGAAGGUGGCCGAGUUACAGGGGUACUUGUCAGAUCAUGAGACAUCCUAAAAAUCGGUCUUCUCAUGAAAACGUCUGUAGCAUCCAAAUGCUACAAACUAAUGUGGAAAUGGGAGACUCUCACAAACACGAUGGGGUUCUCCGUUUUGCUUUACAACGCCAAUAAGUGUCACGGGACUCAUCUGAAGGUAACAUAUACAAACGAAUGGAAGUAAUAAGUAGUUUUCUGCCAACAAAAAUAUGUGUCUAAAAAAAACUAAAUUAUUUACAUGGGUUUCUUAUAUCUCCUAGAUACAGGACACACUUCAAAACCUUAUUCCUUAUGAUUUAUUGACAUCAAUAAGUUACCAUAGCUUUCACCUGGAUUCACCUGGCCAGUCUAUGUCAUGGAAAGAGCAGGUGUUCCUAAUGUUUUGUACACUCAGGAGAAAAGAGUGAUAAAAUAAAAUGGGGAAAAUAGAGAGAAGAAAUUUAGGAGAUGGAGUGAAGAGAAGGGUGGGGGGGUUGAGAGAGGGAUGGGUGCACAGCGUCCUUGUCACAGUAUUGUCUCUCCUCUCUUUUUCCCUCUCCUCCUCCUCUUUUUCACUUGUUUUUUCUGUAUGUUCUGCUCAAGCAUUGAUUCUACUGCCUCUUUUCCCUUCUUCAACUACACCCUGCAUCUGUCCCGAGACACUGAGACACACAGGGUACGGUAGCUGGCAACGUGUGCUCUGAGAAGAGACACACCCUGAACAGUGGAAGAAAGAGUGUUGUGCAGGUACUGAGAGCUGUUAGCUCGGUCCAGAGCGACAGAGACAGAAAGACAAACAGACAGACCGGAAUUGAGCCGAGCCGGGCUGAGCUGGACUGGGAUACUCUGGACUCUCCCAGAGCUCUCUUCAGCGACGGGCACAGGUAAACACACACCUUCAUGGUUCUCCCCUGUGUUCCAACCCCCUCAGAGUUCCAGAAUGGGUCUGUUUAUGGUAGCCUGGAGAGACUCAAAUAAAGAAAACAACUACUACUUCAGGGUUAUUGACAUAUUCCUAAAAGGUUGUGACUGGCAGCCUGGAUCAAUCUGCUGCACUUUAUUUUAGUAUUCCAAGACAGCCUGAGGGAGAGAUGAACUUCUGAGGAGAAAAAGAGCCAGAGAAAGAGUGUGUGUGUUUAUAAAGGUAUGAUGUGUUUAUAAAGGUAUGAUGUGUUUUAUAAAGGUAUGAUGUGUUUAUAAAGGUAUGAUGUGUUUUAUAAAG